GCCUGAGUGGCUUAGUGGUUGAGCGCCUGCCUUUGGCUCAGGGUGUGAUCCUGGAUUCCUGGGGUCGAAUCCCACAUCGGGCU
rfam:Canis lupus familiaris chromosome 29, whole genome shotgun sequence.